rnacentral:rRNA from 1 species
UACGUAGGUGGCAAGCGUUUGUCCGGAUUUUACUGGGCGUAAAGGAUGCGUAGGCGGACAUUUAAGUCAGAUGUGAAAUACCCGAGCUUAACUUGGGUGCUGCAUUUGAAACUGGGUGUCUAGAGUGCAGGAGAGGUAAGUGGAAUUCCUAGUGUAGCGGUGAAAUGCGUAGAGAUUAGGAAGAACACCAGUGGCGAAGGCGACUUACUGGACUGUAACUGACGCUGAGGCAUGAAAGCGUGGGGAGCAAACAGG